rnacentral:tRNA from 1 species
UUUAAUGAGGUGUUUGGCAUACCACAUUUUGGUUGCGGGGGUAGAUAGUUUCUCAUUAUUU